rnacentral:rRNA from 1 species
AUUGAACGCUGGCGGCAGGCCUAACACAUGCAAGUCGAACGGUAACAGGAAACAGCUUGCUGUUUCGCUGACGAGUGGCGGACGGGUGAGUAAUGUCUGGGAAACUGCCUGAUGGAGGGGGAUAACUACUGGAAACGGUAGCUAAUACCGCAUAACGUCGCAAGACCAAAGAGGGGGACCUUCGGGCCUCUUGCAAUCGGAUGUGCCCAGAUGGGAUUAGCUAGUAGGUGGGGUAACGGCUCACCUAGGCGACGGUCCCUAGCUGGUCUGAGGGGAUGACCAGCCACACUGGAACUGAGACGCGGUCCAGACUCCUACGGGAGGCAGCAGUGGGGAAUAUUGCACAAUGGGCGCAAGCCUGAUGCAGCCAUGCCGCGUGUAUGAAGAAGGCCUUCGUGUUGUAAAGUACUUUCAGCGGGGAGGAAGGGAGUAAAGUUAAUACCUUUACUCAUUGACGUUACCCGCAGAAGAAGCACCGGCUAACUCCGUGCCAGCAGCCGCCGUAA